rnacentral:rRNA from 1 species
CUACGGGUGGCAGCAGUGGGGAAUAUUGGACAAUGGGCGAAAGCCUGAUCCAGCUAUGCCGCGUGUGUGAAGAAGGCCUUCGGGUUGUAAAGCACUUUCAGUGGGGAAGAAAGCCUUGGGGCUAAUACCCUCGAGGAAGGACAUCACCCACAGAAGAAGCACCGGCUAACUCCGUGCCAGCAGCCGCGGUAAUACGGAGGGUGCGAGCGUUAAUCGGAAUUACUGGGCGUAAAGCGCGCGUAGGCGGUCUGAUAAGCCGGUUGUGAAAGCCCCGGGCUCAACCUGGGAACGGCAUCCGGAACUGUCAGGCUAGAGUGCAGGAGAGGAAGGUAGAAUUCCCGGUGUAGCGGUGAAAUGCGUAGAGAUCGGGAGGAAUACCAGUGGCGAAGGCGGCCUUCUGGACUGACACUGACGCUGAGGUGCGAAAGCGUGGGUAGCAAACAGGAUUAGAUACCCGGGUAGUC